ACUUAGACAUGAGUUAGGGAUUGUAUUGGCAUCCUUUUGCUUUUUCUGCAAAAGAUAGAAAGGAAAGCCUGACUACUC
rfam:Psychroflexus torquis ATCC 700755, complete genome.